CUAAGUUUGAUGGCGACCGGCGCACGGGUGAGUAACACGUAUCCAACCUGCCGAUGACUCGGGGAUAGCCUUUCGAAAGAAAGAUUAAUACCCGAUGGCAUAGUUCUUCCGCAUGGUAGAACUAUUAAAGAAUUUCGGUCAUCGAUGGGGAUGCGUUCCAUUAGGUUGUUGGCGGGGUAACGGCCCACCAAGCCUUCGAUGGAUAGGGGUUCUGAGAGGAAGGUCCCCCACAUUGGAACUGAGACACGGUCCAAACUCCUACGGGAGGCAGCUG
rnacentral:rRNA from 1 species